rnacentral:lncRNA from 1 species
CAUCAGACAGGGGAGACCACAAGUCCCCUCAGUCGUCUGAGCCUCCUCCGCCCUGAACUCGAUCUCCCACGAAGCCGUGCUUAUCUCCAGUUCAUCUGUGUGAAUUAUUUACUGCGUCUGGCGGCCUCCCUGGCGGCCUCCCUGCCUGCGAAGAAUGUGGAACCCACAUCCUGGGUUCUGAAGCCUGUUUUUUCUCAUUAUCCAAGGAGUUCCAGAGUUAGACCUCAGGGGGACCUGGGGGAAAGGGGCUUCCCACCCCCUCCCACCUUCACCCAGAAUUCUUGUCUGGAACCAGAAAGCACUGAGUUGGGAGUCAGGGCACUUGCUGCUCUGCUUGGGUGCUCUGUGAACCUCAGCAUCCUCAUCUGUGACCCUGGGGUGGUGAUUCCUGCCCUAGGUGCUUCCAGAACUGCUGAUCAAACCCCACAAGGUAAUGCUGGGGAGUGAUCUCUGCAACCGAGGCGUUGUAUGAUUGCACAGGUAUCACUAUCGGUAUUUUUCUUAAUUGCCUUCUUAUCAUGUGCCACAGUGCUAAGUGUUCUGCAUGCGAUUUAAUUCUCACAGCAACUCUAGGAAUCAUGUUUAUUGUGUGUGCCAGUUACAACUAUAUAUCAUGUUCAUUUCACAAAGAAACUGAGGCCCAGAGGGUCUGGGUAACCUGUCCUCAGUCAGGAAGGAGCCAGGAGUGGAAACUGAGUCUGAGUCUGGCUUCCACCCUGAACUCUUAACCACUCCUAAACUCCAUGCCAUGUUGCCUAAUAAACCUGGCGGCCCUUCAUCAGCACCCAAGAGACUGCUUGGGCACCAGUCUCAUCUAUGAUGGCCAUCUGCACAGAGUGAUGACCCAGCCUGUGUGCCUGUCUCCAUGCAAGGCGCCAGGGACACAGGGGUGAGUCAGGCACAGUCCCCACCCUCAAAUUGCAUGUGUCUGGAGUUGGGGGUGGGUGUCAGGGACAGGGAACAGGGAAGCACGACCUGGUCACACUCAGAUAUGAUACAAAAUGAAGUGCCCGUCAUGAUGAGGGCUGGGCACAUUCAAUGUGUUUUGGGGGGUGACCAUUUAAUGAGUGGGCAGG